GGCCCCUUGACCAUCAUGGGAGGUCGUGCCUUCCCGGUGAGCUUUCGAGCUUAAACGGACGCGGUAAAUCGUGCAAAGGUAGCUAAAUUAUGGCCUAUUAAUUGUAGGUCCUGUGAAUGGUUUGACGAGCUCCCGACUGUCUCUAGUUUGGUUUGGUGAACUUGAAUUGGAUGUGCAAAUGCUUCCAUGGGAAAGAAAGACGAGAAGACCCCGUGAAGUUAGAAAUUUUAGCUGUAAGCGUUAAGUUCUUAGGCUGAUAGGCCGGUUUGAUAGCAGUGAAGCUAUAAAGUUAGUUAGUGCAGCGGUAGUUUUGGCUGGGGCAGCAAAAGAGCAAAGCUAGACUCUUUUAGAUAAGAAGCGGGUGCGCUACGAUCCACAUGAACUUUUAGUCUUGUGAUAAGCAGAACAAGUUACUCCGGGGAUAACAGCGUUAUCCGUCUUGAUAGUUCUUAUAGAUAGGCGGGUUUGCGACCUCGAUGUUGGCUCUGGGUACCCUUGGGCUUGCAGGCGGUUCUUAGGGUUGGUUCGUUCGCCCAUUAAUACCCG
rnacentral:rRNA from 1 species